UACAGAGGUCCCAAGCGUUGUUCGGAUUCACUGGGCGUAAAGGGUGCGUAGGCGGCCGGGUAAGUCUGGUGUGAAAUCCCGCAGCUCAACUGCGGAACGGCAUCGGAUACUAUCCGGCUGGAGGAAUGGAGGGGAGACUGGAAUUCUCGGUGUAGCAGUGAAAUGCGUAGAUAUCGAGAGGAACACCAGUGGCGAAGGCGAGUCUCUGGACAUUUCCUGACGCUGAGGCACGAAAGCCAGGGGAGCAAACGGG
rnacentral:rRNA from 1 species